rnacentral:lncRNA from 1 species
CAAAAGUUCAGUGCUUAGCCUUGCCUACUUGAGCAGUUUGGCUUUCUGCAAAGACAGAGGAAAGCCAUUAAAGGCUUUGCAUUGUGUCCUCUCCUGGGAGCCUUCCCUGCCCACCCAGUUUUUCCCUGGUCAUCUUACAGCUUUCUUGCUCUCAGAAUGACAAAUCACUUGAUUGCUUCUUCUUUCUCCUUUCCUUUCCUGCCCUUUCCUUUUACAUCUGCACAUGAUCCUGUUAUUGCUUCACCUUUUUCCCCCCAAGCUGACCCAGUUUCUACUCUCUCUCUGUGUCACUGAACAGCUUCCCUGCUUGGGAAGGUUUUGUUCCGACAAACCUAAUGCGAUUCACUUAUGGUAUUACAAAGCCUCUUGAAUGCUUUUCCUCGCAGGUUAUUUUUUCCCCAUGAAAACUCAUUUAUCAAGUAUACUUUAAGGCUGCUGUCUCACCUCAUGGUCCCUCCUCCCUCUUUUCCUUGCAGCGUUUACCAUUUCGCGUCCAUUUCUGCUCUCUCCACCAGAUUCCCUUUGUUUGCAGCUGUUUGAUAUGGAGUGCAACACCUGGCACCCAGGAUUGCCUUCAGUUCCUGAGGACGGAGGUAUUAAGGAGGAACAGAGGACUGCGAAUUACCAACAGACACUUGUUUCCUCUGCCAUGGCAUAGCAGAGCAGCUGACAGCACCUUCAAUGUGUGGCUGGCCUGGGACCAAAAGCGCUGGGAUGCUGCACUCUGACACAGAGGAUUUACAAUGUGAUUAGUGCUGGGAAGGCAACCCAGCAGAUGACACCUUCAGAAGCCAAGCCAGUCUCAGCAGCAGAGAAUACACGCCUGGACCUCAGCCUGGGUUUAGAUCUGAGAUGCCUCCUGAGCUGCUGAAAUGGAAGCUUGGCAAAAAGCAAAGGCACCCUGAAGGGACAGCUGCAAGGAGGAAGUCAGAGUGCUUUGAGGCAAGGAGUAUUCUGGUACCUGCAGAAGGAGACAUGUUUUGCCAGACCUGCCUGCAAUUCUCUGGAGCCAUUGGUGUAAGUCUCCAUCUUGAAACCCAUCUGGAAGACAACGGGAUGUGGGGAGCAGUGUUGGAGCUCAGCAGUGAAUAUCAGAUGGAGCUACACGUGCUGCAUCACAUUGAGAGGCUAAAGCAGAUGACAGGAAGACAAGAAGAGCUGUAG